GGAGAAUAGGUUUCUGGAUAUGGUGAUAUCCAAUGAAUAAGUUGUUUUAUGAUUUCCCUGAGUUUGUUAGACACAGACUAGGAAUAAGAGUUUCUGGGCAGUAUGACCCCAAGUUUAUUUUAUUUUAGUCAGUUGAAGUGUACUAAGGAAUACGGAUUGGUCAGAACAUUAGGACAAUCCUGUUUUAAAGAUGUAUUACAUUAAUAAGUCAUCACAAUGCUAAUGAAGAGAGUGAUGCUAAUGAAUUUAAAGUAUUCUUUCCAAGUUCUUUUAAAGUAAACCAUUCUCUGAUUGAAUGAAAAGUUUGUUA